GCGUGGGGAGCAAACAGGAUUAGAUACCUGGUAGUCACGCUGUAAACGAUGUCGAUUUGGAGGUUGUGCCCUUGAGGCGUGGCUUCCGGAGCUAACGCGUUAAAUCGACCGCUGGGGAGUACGGCCGCAAGGUUAAAACUCAAAUGAAUUGACGGGGGCCCGCACAAGCGGUGGAGCAUGUGGUUUAAUUCGAUGCAACGCGAAGAACCUUACCUACUCUUGACAUCCAGAGAACUUAGCAGAGAUGCUUUGGUGCCUUCGGGAACUCUGAGACAGGUGCUGCAUGGCUGUCGUCAGCUCGUGUUGUGAAAUGUUGGGUUAAGUCCCGCAACGAGCGCAACCCUUAUCCUUUGUUGCCAGCGGUUCGGCCGGGAACUCAAAGGAGACUGCCAGUGAUAAACUGGAGGAAGGUGGGGAUGACGUCAAGUCAUCAUGGCCCUUACGAGUAGGGCUACACACGUGCUACAAUGGCGUAUACAAAGAGAAGCGACCUCGCGAGAGCAAGCGGACCUCAUAAAGUACGUCGUAGUCCGGAUUGGAGUCUGCAACUCGACUCCAUGAAGUCGGAAUCGCUAGUAAUCGUAGAUCAGAAUGCUACGGUGAAUACGUUCCCGGGCCUUGUACACACCGCCCGUCACACCAUGGGAGUGGGUUGCAAAAGAAGUAGGUAGCUUAACCUUCGGGAGGGCGCUUACCACUUUGUGAUUCAUGACUGGGGUGAAGUCGUAACAAGGUAACCA
rnacentral:rRNA from 1 species